GAGGUGCCUCCAGAUUACAGCGGUAAGUAUAAGGUCCUGUCUGCUGGGAUGAAGACGUACGAGGUGCCUCCAGAUUACAGCGGUAAGUAUAAGGUCCUGUCUGCUGGGAUGAAGACGUACGAGGUGCCUCCAGAUUACAGCGGUAAGUAUAAGGUCCUGUCUGCUGGGAUGAAGACGUACGAGGUGCCUCCAGAUUACAGCGGUAAGUAUAAGGUCCUGUCUGCUGGGAUGAAGACGUACGAGGUGCCUCCAGAUUACAGCGAGGUUGUGCUACCUGAAAGACCCAAGCUGAAGUUUCUGAACAAGGUGCCUAACUUGAAGAAGGCGAGGAAAGAGAUGAAGAAGCUGAGAGACAUCCAGGGACCGGCUCAGACAGCCAACACCUUCACCAAGGGACAGUACGGCAUCGUGGCGCUGGGCGGAGGCUACCUUCACUCGGUCACAUGGAGAUGAUGCGUCUGACCAUCAACAGGAGGAUGGACCCUCGCACCACCUUCGCCCGCUGGCGUAUCAACGCUCCCUACAAGCCCAUCACCAGGAAGGGCCUGGGCCAGAGGAUGGGAGGAGGGAAAGGGAGCAUAGACCACUACGUCACGCCGGUGAAGUACGGACGGAUGAUCGUGGAGAUCGGGGACGGCUGGAACUGGGCGAGGUGGAGCCUAUCCUCAAGGAAGUGGCCAAGAAACUGCCCUUCCUUGCCAAGGUAGUGUCCAGAGAGAGCCUGGCAGCCAUGCAGCAGGAGCAGCAGGACAUGGAGCAGAACAACCAGAAUCCCUGGACCUUCCAAAGGAUCGCCAGGGGCAACAUGCUGGGGGUCAGGAAGGUCCUCAGUCCCUUUGAUCUCCACAACCACGGGAAGUACAGCGGAAAGUUCCACAACCCAGGCAGGGUGUGAGGGGAGUCGCCCGUGGUGCCCCUUCAAAAAAAAUACAUUUUUUAACAGCUGCGCUUUGGAACAUGGUUUCCAUCCAAAAUGGCUGACUAUUCCCUAUACGGUACACUACUUUUGACCAGAGCCCGGGUGUCAUGUCAGACGCAGCGCAUGGAGCCAAAAUGGCUGUCAGUCAUGUGGAGAAUUCUAUCCUUCUGUGUGACUUCCUUAUUCGGAUGUAGCCCGUUAAUUUUAUGUCCCAAAUCAGCGAUUGGUGUUCAAUAACAAAAUAAAGAAACUUGUCAGAAUA